rnacentral:tRNA from 1 species
GCCGGGGUGCCCGAGCGGACCAAGGGGACGGGCUGGAGACCCGUUCCCCCGUUUGGGGGGCGCGGGUUCGAAUCCCGCCCCCGGCGCCA